UGCGGAGUAGAGCAGCGGCAGCUCGUCGCCCUCAUGAGGCGAAGGUCGCCGGUUUGAGUCCGGCCUCCGCAUCCA
rnacentral:tRNA from 1 species